rnacentral:lncRNA from 1 species
GCUCAAUUCUUGCCUGAAGCCUUCCUUUCAAGUUUUCAACUCCAGCUUUUAUUUUUCUUUUCUUCUCUUUUUUUUAUUUUUUUUAAUUUUUUAUAUUGGCAAAGAGAAAAUGCUAUUUAUGAUGCAAACUUAUGUUUGUGACCGCGCCUUUGCGGCUGCCUACGUAUCUCCAAGAACUCUUCGGGGGAUGGGGAGAAUCAGGUCUUUCGUAGUUCCUUCCGGGAUGUG